AUAUAUAUGUGUGUGUAUGUGUGUGUUAUGAAUGAAUAAAAGAAAAAAGCAUUUCUAGUUCAAAAUUAACAUGAUAACAGGGCUUUUGUUUCAUUAGGUUUUGGUACUGUUCAUGGGUCUUGUUCAUCUGUAAUAUUUACGGCUACUAUUGUGUUGUUCAUGGGUACAAUAAAGCACAUUGCUAGCCUUGUAAUUUUUUUUUCUAGUUGCGCAAUUCUUUUGUUUUUAGUCGCUCACCCAUGCACCUGCGUGCGGAGGAGUGUGCUUCACUUUUUUUGGCUCCGAUCAUCUCUUUUGGCAUCAACUAGAGGAAGAAAGUACGUCCUGGUGUUCUUUUGCCUUGGUUUUGUGUUUCUAAGGUAUUUGUGAACCAAGGGUUGUUACAAGUACGGUUUCAACCUCUGGUUACUAUUGUUUCUGCUUGCUUUUAUUAACCUUUGGUCUUUGUUGUAGCCCAAUGAGUUGUUGCCAUCUCCUUGAAGGUGCUCUUGCCUAGUUAGGUUCUAUCUCUGGUACUUGGACUCUUCAAUUUACCCUACCAUACUUGUGUCGACAUGACACGACACACGAAACAUGAUACAUGUCCGACACAUAUCCAUCACGUUGGACACGUAAAGACAAGAUGAAGGGAGUGGCUACAAAGCAGACCUAGAGAAACAGAUUGAGAAGCAGACUAUUUGACUUGGCUUACAACUAUGUUUCCCAAUCGAUGCAGUUAUUUUAUUUUUUAUAUUUUCUUUACUUGAAUUCAUGCCAUCAUGUUGUUCUUAUUUUUUUUUGUCCUCAUGUAGUGUGAAUUGUUUUGUUUUGUGCUAAUCCUUUUGCGUGCG
rnacentral:misc_RNA from 1 species